rnacentral:misc_RNA from 1 species
GUUGGUUUAGUGUCCUCUCUCUUUUACGUAGUAUUAAUCCAUCAUUUUCCCUUAGCUGCUGAGGUAAUUGUAGCGGCGGCGAACGAUGGAGCUGAAACUAUCAUUCCCUGCGGAUUCUCCGCCUUUGGCUGUCAUUGCGGCGGCGAAGAUCGCCGGAGUUCCAAUCUCUACUGAUCCAACUCUUACUACCGGUUCUACUCCUAUUAUGCAUAUAGAUAAUGGACUGAAGCUGCGGGGAAAUUUUGUUCUUCUGAGGUACAUUAGUCGGGUUGCUAAUAUACCCGAUCUGUACCAGCGUGAUGCCUGUGAGUCUAGCCAGAUAGAUGAAUGGCUAGAGUAUGCUCCUAUAUUUGCCUCUGGCUCUCAAUUUGAGGAAGCAUGUGGCUACGUGGAUGGAUAUCUUCUGCAGCACACAUUUCUUGUUGGACAUAGCCUCUCAAUUGCAGAUAUUGCAGUUUGGUCUGGCCUUGCAGGUACUGGGAAGAGAUGGGAAAGCCUACGAUCAUCUAAGAAGUACCAAAAUCUGGCAAGGUGGUUCAACUCAAUAUUAACUGAAUAUGGUGUUCUAAAUGAAGUCACAGCAACAUAUGUGGGAAAGAAAGGCCCGGGAAAGCCAACUGCAUCCAAAGUGAAAGAGCAACAAGGCUCAAAUGCUAAUCUGGCCAAAGUAAAUGGUGAUGCCGCUGACAAGGAAAAAGAAGGUAGGAAACCGACAUCUGAGGUAGAUCUUCCUGAGGCAGAAGUUGGAAAAGUGCGGUUGAGGUUUGCACCAGAACCCAGUGGUUAUCUCCAUAUUGGUCACUCAAAAGCAGCAUUACUGAACCAGUAUUUUGCUGAAAGAUAUCAAGGGGAAGUUAUUAUUCGAUUUGAUGAUACAAAUCCUGAUAAGGAAAGCAAUGAAUUUGUGGAUAAUCUACUGAAAGAUAUUGAAACUCUUGGAAUUAAGUAUAGGACUGUGACAUAUACAUCUGAUUACUUUCCACAAUUAAUGGAGAUGGCAGAGAAAUUGAUUCGUGAGGGUAAAGCCUAUGUGGAUGAUACCCCAAGGGAGCAAAUGCAAAAAGAAAGAAUGGAUGGAAUAGAAUCAAGGUGUAGGAACAAUAGUGUUGAGGAGAAUUUGAAAUUAUGGAAGGAGAUGAUUGCUGGUUCAGAGAGGGGAACAAUGUGUUGUGUUAGAGGGAAAUUGGAUAUGCAGGAUCCUAACAAGUCAGUUAGGGACCCAGUAUAUUACCGUUGCAAUCAGACUCCUCACCACAGGAUUGGUGCUAAAUAUAAAGUAUACCCUACUUAUGACUUUGCAUGCCCAUUUGUAGAUGCUUUUGAGGGUAUUACACAUGCACUUCGAUCUAGUGAAUAUCAUGAUAGGAAUGAUCAGUAUUACUGGAUUCAAACUGAUAUGGGUUUCAGUAAAGUACAUAUUUAUGAAUUUAGUCGGCUGAAUUUGGUCUAUACACUUCUUAGCAAGCGUAAGUUGCUGUGGUUUGUGCAAAAUGGACUGGUCGAAGGGUGGGAUGAUCCUCGUUUUCCGACUGUACAAGGAAUUGUGCGCAGAGGGCUGAAGAUUGAGGCGCUGAUACAGUUCAUUCUUGAACAAGGAGCAUCAAAGAAUCUCAAUCUUAUGGAGUGGGACAAGCUAUGGGCCACUAAUAAGAAGAUCGUUGAUCCUGUAUGUCCUAGGCAUACCGCUGUUAUUGAAGAAAGACGAGUCUUAUUGACUUUGAGUAAUGGACCAGAUGAUCCUUUUGUCCGAAUUGUACCCAAGCAUAAAAAGUAUGCAGGUGCUGGGGAAAAAGCAACAACUUACACCAAGAGAAUCUGGAUAGACUAUGAUGAUGCUGUAUCAAUCUCUGUCAACGAGGAAGUAACAUUGAUGGACUGGGGCAAUGCAAUAGUGAAAGAGAUACGGAAGGACCAAGAGGGUAAUGUUACUCAUCUGUCUGGGAUUCUGCAUCUUGAAGGGUCAGUUAAAACAACAAAGUUAAAGCUGACUUGGCUGCCAGAGAGUGAUGAACUUGUUAAACUCUCUGUGGUUGAUUUUGACUAUUUAAUUACAAAGAAGAAGCUCGAGGAAGACGAGAACUUUGUCGAUGUUGUUAAUCCUUGCACAAGGAAGGAGACUCCAGCGCUUGGUGAUUCUAACAUGAGGAAUCUGCAACGUGGAGACGUGUUGCAGCUGGAGAGGAAGGGCUACUUCAGAUGCGAUGUUCCCUUCCUACGACCUCAAAAACGCAUUGUUCUUUUUGCCAUCCCUGAUGGUAAACAGCAACCAGUGUUGCGGUUUGCAGUCCCAGAUGGCAAAACAAAAUGAAGACAUAUCAGAUUGCAACCAGUAUUCAUGCUUGAAGAAGAAUCACAGGGUGUGAUCUGAUUGUCUCCUUUUUUGAAACCUAAGUUAGGGCGAAAUGUGCAAGACCAUUCGUUUUUCCAAGAUCAUUAGGUGUAAUUUCCUAUUUGGAGUAUUAUUCUACUAUUCGACUGUAAUAUUUUCUUAAAACACUUAAAAACAAAUACUCAAAUGUUCAAAAAAAAAUGUAUUAACAUAUCACUGAUAUUUCAUAAGUGGAGUUUUGAGAGGUUGUUUUCAGGAGACACUUAAAUGCAGC